AUGGUAUGAUAUGAUACGAUAUUUAAAUCUUUGGUAUAGUAAUUUAGGUAUUUAAUUUUUAAAAAUAUAUACCAUCACCAUACCAAAUUAAUAUGGUUCGAUUUUUUGAAAUUCGAUUUUGGUAUUUUACGAUAUGGUAAAUCGACAACCAUGGUUUGUUCAACUUUGACCAUAUAUAUUCAUAUAAUAGAAUAUUAUGACUUCGACUUUUCGAGAAAAAAUUCGUUUGCAUCAUACUAACACAUUGCACAUGUAGAAAUAUACGUUCAAAAGAAAGUACAAACAACUCCUCGAUCAAUUACAUUAAAAAAAAUAUUUUAAUCAAGAUAGAAUAGUCAAAGUUUCAUCGUCUAAAUAUUUAAUUACAUACUAACACUAGGUUGUAUAUUUGUUAGUUUAAUAAUAAUAUAUUAUUAUUUAUGUAACUAUAUAUUUCAGUAUGAUAUUCGAUAUUUUGAUAUGUUAUUUGUAAAUACCAAAUAUAGUACUGAAUACUAAAAAAAUUUAAAAUGUAUAUCAAACACCAUAACAUAAGAGGUUAUUUUUGUUUAUCUAUGACUAAACUUAAUGGACCAAAACUAUUUUAAGUGAAUAAUUAUAGACUAUAUUGAGCAUACCCUCAAACAUAAAGGACCAAUUUGUCAUUUACUCUACUAAAUGACCACACACAUUACUUCUAUUGAACUUCACUUAAAUCCUUUUUCUUUUGAAUAACUUAACAAAUCCUCCUCCUUUUUCCUCUAUAAUUCAACAUUUUCAAGAUUAUUAACAACAAAAUCAAAGUAUUAUUUCCAGAUCUACUACUAUAAUUCAACCUUCCAAUUCAGGGUACAUGGCUUCUCCUCACCAGCACAAGUAUCGAGGAACUAUGCCCAUCGAUUAAUUAUGGUAUAUAGAGUGAAGUUACGUGUUAUUAUACUCUUAUAGAUAUCUGGAUGAUUAUAUAAAAUGAUUUAGGUAUAAUUAUUUGUGAACUUUCUACAAAAUUGCCAACAGUCUUUUGCAUGUUGUGAAUUGAAACCUUUGUAUCUUCAACCAACAUUUGAUAUGUUUGGUAAAUAUAUAUUACUUGUGAUUGGAUGAAUUUGGAAGUCAAUUUGAAGUGUAUUAAAUAUUAAUUAUCUUUGUUUACUGUCUUUUUGUUGGAAGUGGAGGUCUAUCGGAAACAACUUCUCGGCAUCUUCAGAAGUAGUACCAGAAAUAACUUCUCGAUAUCUUCAGAAGUAGUGGUAUGAAUUGUGUAUAAUUUACCCUCCUCAAACUCCACCACGUGGAAAUAUACUGGAUAUGUUAUUGUUGUUAUUGAAAGAAGAAAAAAUAUCGACAAAUUUAUACAAGGCAAUAAGAAUGAAUAAAUUUUAAGAAUUAUUCUACA